AACAAUGAAACCGCCCGCCGCCCUCCUCCCCGGCCGCCCUGGGAGCUUCUCGCCGCGCUCCCCUGUCCCCGCCCCGGCCCGCCCUGCCCGGGGCAGAGCGCGCGUGUGGGAAGGACCUCGCAGAGCCUGCGUCCCCCGAGCCCGCCAGGAGACUCGGGGGCCAUUCUGUCCCACACCCGGACACUCCUCCCUAUUAAGGUGCCCAGGUACAACUGGAGGCAGUCUGUCUUCCUGGAACCAUCAAUUAAUGGACUAGUAAGACAGGAGUUCCUCUUGAGCGGAAGAUCUCAGGUAUAUGAACUCCACGUUUUCUGGGAUGCUGAUAUACAUAGUUUGCAGAAGCAAGCAAAGUUUUGAAGUGACCAGGAAUGGAUAGAGUGAGUUAAAAGGGCUGAGGAAGUGGUUCUUGGCUCACAAGACAAAGUAGUGUAAUGAAGGGUUCACUGGGCCGGUUUUCAGGUUUUAAUUCUAUAUUCAUUGUAUCUCUCUGUGCCACCUUGCAGAAAUCGCAGUCUGUCUCUGCUUCAAUUUCCUCAUCUUCAAAAUGAAGGACCAGUGGUUUCUAAGCCCCUCUCAACACUAGCAUUCUAGGACUUUAAAGGAUAUAACUGUGUUCAGAAUCCUGAAUUCUCAGGGAAGAGGGUUUCAGGACACAGACUAAGUAUCUUGAAGGACCUUCAGAGGGAAAAGGGUUUUCCUGAAUCUUGGAAGAGGAUACCCACAGGCACGUAGAAGGGGAGAGAGAAACAGUGCAUGUUCAAUGAUUCCUGAGAAAGAAGCAAGGAGCUGGGAGCUGACACUGGAGGAGUUGCUGAAAUACAGAAUCCAGGGUAGGCUUAGCAAAGGAGUCCCCUGAGAUCAUGGUUCUAGCAUGCAGGUGUGUCAUGGCAGAUUAAUCAUCACACAAACACUACCUGGACCUCCUUCAUCUGUACCGGCGAUUACGUUAGUUCUUCCUCCCAUUGACCAGUCAGCACCCCAAGUAGCCACAGUGACUGGUCAGGACAUGUGUGGGAGCCACCAGGAAUGAUUUCUCCCUUUUUUUGUUCUCUGUGCUUGAGCAUGGAAAGAUGUAAACCGCCACCACAGGCAAGAGUCUGCGAGAGAAUGCAGCUAACACAGAGAAAAUGGAUCCAAGAGAUGGAGGGGAGUUGGGUGUUGAAGACAUUUGAGCCUGGAUCAAGCUGUUUCUGGAGUGAGACCUAUCAGACUCUCAAGUUAUUGAGAGAUCCACACAGUGAGACAGAAUGCAGUUCCUAAAACCAGGAGCCAAAUUCCAGUCCUAAGGAGUUUGGACCACCCCUGAGCCAGUGACUAUGACCAGAGAAUGCCGUGCAUUGACUGGCUCAGCCAUGAUGCAUCUGUUCCUGAACCAAUGCCGGUGCUAAGGGAAAUGAGAUUACCCUAAUCGAUUUAACGCGCCAGGACCAGUCCCCAAAGCUGGAGAUGUUGUAAAUCCCAACAAAACCAAAAGGCUGCCACCCAAUGGGCUGGAGGAGAAUUGAAGUUGGAGGAAUUACCACAGGCCCUUCCAUAGCUUUAUUCCUAAAUAUACUUGCUAUUGGCUACCUGCACACAGCAGCCUCCUAUACAUACCCUUACUGCCUGCAUUAAAGUAGUUUGGGUUAAAAUGAAAGAAGCUUCCAGCAUUAAAUGUUAUUUAUGUUAUUUACUUAAUACUUAAAAGUACUAAAUUGUUGUUAUUGAAGAUUGAAAAAUAUAGAAAAUGAGAAGGGAGAAAAGGCUCUUAUGCCACCAGCGAAGAUAACCAUCAUUAAAAUUUAGCAUUAUCAUCAUUGUCUUUCUCCUAUGUGUGUGUAUAUUGUUAUAUACCAAAUUUUGUAUGUCAUUUUAA